UGGGGAAUUUUGGACAAUGGGCGAAAGCCUGAUCCAGCAAUGCCGCGUGUGUGAAGAAGGCCUUCGGGUUGUAAAGCACUUUUGUCCGGAAAGAAAUCCUUGGCUCUAAUACAGUCGGGGGAUGACGGUACCGGAAGAAUAAGCACCGGCUAACUACGUGCCAGCAGCCGCGGUAAUACGUAGGGUGCAAGCGUUAAUCGGAAUUACUGGGCGUAAAGCGUGCGCAGGCGGUUGCUAAGACCGAUGUGAAAUCCCGGGCUCAACCUGGGAACUGCAUGGUGACUGGCAGGCUAGAGUAUGGCAGGAGGGAGGUAGAAUUCCACGUGUAGCAGUGAAAUGCGUAGAGAUGUGGAGGAAUACCGAUGGCGAAGGCAGCCCCUGGGCCAAUACUGACGCUCAUGCACGAAAGCGUGGGG
rnacentral:rRNA from 1 species